rnacentral:rRNA from 1 species
CUACGGGUCGCUGCAGUGAGGAAUAUUGGUCAAUGGGCGCGAGCCUGAACCAGCCAUCCCGCGUGCAGGAUGACGGCCCUAUGGGUUGUAAACUGCUUUUCUAUGCCAAGAAACCUGAUUACGUGUAAUCAGUUGCCGGUAGCAUAGGAAUAAGCAUCGGCUAACUCCGUGCCAGCAGCCGCGGUAAUACGGAGGAUGCAAGCGUGUAUCCGGAUUCAUUGGGUUUAAAGGGUGCGCAGGUGGGCUUGUAAGUCAGUGGUGAAAUGCUGCCGCUUAACGGUAGAACUGCCAUUGAUACUGCGAGUCUUGAGUAUGGUUGGGGUAGGCGGAAUGUGUUGUGUAGCGGUGAAAUGCAUAGAUAUGACACAGAACGCCAAUUGCGAAGGCAGCUUACUAAGCCAUUACUGACGCUGAGGCACGAAAGCGUGGGGAGCGAACAGGAUUAGAUACCCCGGUAGUC